AGAGGGGAACGGCAGCAAGGGGCUGCUGGCCAGCUGCAUCCCCCCGUGCCUCUGCCUUCCCCUGUGUGUCAGGGCCAUGCGUGGGGGUCCCCUUGGGACCUGGUGGGGGGGCAUGGGACAGCACACAGCACAUCACCACAUCCUUCUGUCUCUCUGUCCCUCUGCAGCCAGAGCCGAAGGAGGAGAGGCACAAAGCUGCGGCAGGAGGUGAGCCCUUUCUCAGGGGAACCUUGCCCCAUCCUGAUGUGAUGCUCAGCCUUCAAGACCCCCCAGCUGGGCUGCCAGGGGCACCGUGGUACUCCAGCCCCACGUGUGCCCCCCAGCAGCCCACGUCCUCACCCCGGGGAGGUCCCCAAAGCCCGUUCUGCUGUGGGAGGCGACCCUUCUUUGCUUGGUCCUCUGCCCCAGCCGGCUGUAGGAUGAUUGCUGCAUUUCCUUUUCCCCCUUCUCUUUGUGAAUAAACCUGAGCAGGCACAAAAGGGACUAAAACCCAGGCGAAGGUGAAAGGGAACGUUUCAGCUGCCCCGAGCAUCCCGGGAACAGUGGAGCCAGUAGCUGCUGAGGGGCAGCCAGAGCCUGUGGCCACCGUCCUCCCUCGUCCCCUGGCUGGGGACAGCAGCAGCAUGUUUGGAUGGUUUGUCCAGGGGCUGGAGAAGGUGAUGCCACAGCCUGUGAGCAGGGAGAAGCAGGACACGCAGGGAGCAGCAGCGGCAGCCUUCAGCCCCGUGGAAGAAAUUCAUAUCGUCCCUGUGGAGGUUGUGGAGACAGACCUAGUCGUGGAGGACAUCGAUGAUGACUGGAGUGAUGAAGUAGCUCACGAGCCAACGGCCUGGGAUGGCCUGGCUGAGCUGGUGGCCCAGGGUCGUCCUCUGCCCCCCAUAGAGGAGGAACUUCAGGAAGAAGAGACCAGGCUGUGCUCCUGCCCCCUGAGUGCUGCUGAGGAGGAGCAGGAGGAGCAGGAGGAGCAGCAGGAGCAGGAGGAGGAGGAGGAGGAGGAGGAGGAAGCGGAGGAGAAGAAGGAAGAGGAGGAGGUGGAGGAGAGCGUGGGGUGAGUCCGUGCAGGGUCUGUGAGUGCCUUCAGCUCUUCUCCUGUUUACAGCCUGUCUGGAAACGAGCACACUAGCCAUGGUUGUUUCAGAUGCAUUUACAAGCUGCCGAGAUUGAGACACCUGGGCAAGAGCAAACUCCUCUCUGCAGGGCUGGCCCCAGGACAGGCUUGUGGCCGCUGUGGGGGAGCCCAUCGGGCUGUCAGCUCUGCCCACCCCUGUCCCUGCUGGGCC
rnacentral:lncRNA from 1 species